UACGGGGGGGGCGAGCGUUGUUCGGAAUCACUGGGCGUAAAGGGCGCGUAGGCGGCCCUCUUAGUCGCGUGUGAAAGCCCCGGGCUCAACCUGGGAACGGCGCGCGAAACGGGAGGGCUGGAGUUCGGGAGAGGAGAGUGGAAUUCCCAGUGUAGAGGUGAAAUUCGUAGAUAUUGGGAAGAACACCGGUGGCGAAGGCGGCUCACUGGCUCGUUUCUGACGCUCAGGCGCGACAGCGUGGGGAUCAAACAGG
rnacentral:rRNA from 1 species